rnacentral:rRNA from 2 species
GUCCAGGAAAUGAAUAUAAGUUCAGCUUUAAAAAAUACCAAAAAUAUAAAUAAAUGCACUGUAUUUUUAAAAGUUAGUCUAAAAGGGUACAGCCUUUUAGAAACGGAUACAACCUUGACUAGAGAGUAAAAUUUGAUAAUACCAUAGUAGGCCCAAAAGCAGCCACCAAUUAAGAAAGCGUUAAAGCUCAACAAUAAACUUAUAUUAAUUCCAAUAACAAACAAUCAACUCCUAGCCUUAAUACUGGACUAAUCUAUAAAAAUAGAAGCAAUAAUGUUAAUAUGAGUAACAAGAAGUCUCUUCUCCUUGCACGAGUUUAAGUCAGUAUCUGAUAAUAUUCUGACUGUUAACAGCAAAAUAAGAAUAACCCAACCAUAAAUAACUUAUUAAAUAUACUGUUAAUCCAACACAGGAGUGCACUUAAGGAAAGAUUAAAAGAAGUAAAAGGAACUCGGCAAACAUUAAACCCCGCCUGUUUACCAAAAACAUCACCUCCAGCAUAACUAGUAUUGGAGGCACUGCCUGCCCAGUGACAAUCGUUAAACGGCCGCGGUAUCCUGACCGUGCAAAGGUAGCAUAAUCAUUUGUUCUCUAAAUAAGGACUUGUAUGAAUGGCCAAACGAGGGUUUUACUGUCUCUUACUUCCAAUCAGUGAAAUUGACCUUCCCGUGAAGAGGCGGGAAUAUAUCAACAAGACGAGAAGACCCUAUGGAGCUUUAACUACUUAGCCCAAAGAAAUAAAUUUAACAACUAAGGAAACAACAAUACUCUUUAUGGGCUAACAGCUUUGGUUGGGGUGACCUCGGAGAACAGAAAAUCCUCCGAGCGAUUUUAAAGACUAGACCUACAAGUCAAAUCACACAAUCGCUUAUUGAUCCAAAAAAUUGAUCAACGGAACAAGUUACCCUAGGGAUAACAGCGCAAUCCUAUUCAAGAGUCCAUAUCGACAAUAGGGUUUACGACCUCGAUGUUGGAUCAGGACAUCCCGAUGGUGCAACCGCUAUCAAAGGUUCGUUUGUUCAACGAUUAAAG